rnacentral:rRNA from 1 species
UUGAACGCUGGCGGAAUGCUUUACACAUGCAAGUCGAACGGCAGCACGGGGGCAACCCUGGUGGCGAGUGGCGAACGGGUGAGUAAUACCUAGGAACAUGUCCAGUAGUGGGGGAUAACGCAGCGAAAGCUGUGCUAAUACCGCAUACGAUCUACGGAUGAAAGCGGGGGAUCGCAAGACCUCGCGCGGACGGAGCGGCCGAUGGCAGAUUAGGUAGUUGGUGGGAUAAAAGCUUACCAAGCCGACGAUCUGUAGCUGGUCUGAGAGGACGACCAGCCACACUGGGACUGAGACACGGCCCAGACUCCUACGGGAGGCAGCAGUGGGGAAUUUUGGACAAUGGGCGAAAGCCUGAUCCAGCCAUGCCGCGUGCAGGAUGAAGGCCUUCGGGUUGUAAACUGCUUUUGUACGGAACGAAAAAGUCUUCUCUAAUACAGGGGGCGAAUGACGGUACCGUAAGAAUAAGCACCGGCUAACUACGU